GACGAACGCUGGCGGCGUGCUUAACACAUGCAAGUCGAACGGUAAGGCCCUUUCGGGGGUACACGAGUGGCGAACGGGUGCGUAACACGUGGGUGAUCUGCCCUGCACUUUGGGAUAAGCCUGGGAAACUGGGUCUAAUACCGGAUAGGACUACGCGAUGCAUGUCGUGUGGUGGAAAGCUUUUGCGGUGUGGGAUGGGCCCGCGGCCUAUCAGCUUGUUGGUGGGGUGAUGGCCUACCAAGGCGACGACGGGUAGCCGGCCUGAGAGGGUGUCCGGCCACACUGGGACUGAGAUACGGCCCAGACUCCUACGGGAGGCAGCAGUGGGGAAUAUUGCACAAUGGGCGCAAGCCUGAUGCAGCGACGCCGCGUGGGGGAUGACGGCCUUCGGGUUGUAAACCCCUUUCAGCACAGACGAAGCGUAAGUGACGGUAGGUGCAGAAGAAGCACCGGCCAACUACGUG
rnacentral:rRNA from 1 species